GGGCGAGUGGCGCAGCGGUUAGCGCAGCUGCCUUACACGCAGUUGGUCGUGGGUUCGAAUCCCUCCUCGCCCACCA
rnacentral:tRNA from 1 species